UGACAGGUCAGGUGUGGGCUGUGACCAGUC
rnacentral:piRNA from 1 species